AGGAAAUAGAUACCCGGGUAGUCCACGCCCUAAACGAUGUCGACUGGUUGUUGGUGGGGUUAAACCCAUUAGUAACGAAAGCCAAACGCGUGAAAGUCGACCGCCUGGGGAGUACGGCCGCAAGGUUAAAACUCAAAGGAAUUGACGGGGACCCGCACAAGCGGUGGAUGAUGUGGAUUAAUUCGAUGCAAACGCGAAGAACCUUACCUACCCUUGACACGCCAGGAACCCUGCUGAGAGGUGGGGGUGCCCGAAAGGGAACCUGGACACAGGUGCUGCAUGGCUGUCGUCAGCUCGUGUCGUGAGAUGUUGGGUUAAGUCCCGCAACGAGCGCAACCCUUGUCACUAGUUGCUACGGUAACGGGCACUCUAGUGAGACUGCCGGUGACGAACCGGAGGAAGGUGGGGAUGACGUCAAGUCCUCAUGGCCCUUAUGGGUAGGGCUUCACACGUCAUACAAUGGCGCAUACAGAGGGCUGCCAACCCGCGAGGGGAGCCAAUCCCAGAAAGUGCGUCGUAGUCCGGAUUGCAGUCUGCAACUCGACUGCAUGAA
rnacentral:rRNA from 1 species